rnacentral:rRNA from 1 species
CUACGUGCCAGCAGCCGCGGUAAUACGGAGGGUGCGAGCGUUAAUCGGAAUAACUGGGCGUAAAGGGCACGCAGGCGGUGACUUAAGUGAGGUGUGAAAGCCCCGGGCUUAACCUGGGAAUUGCAUUUCAUACUGGGUCGCUAGAGUACUUUAGGGAGGGGUAGAAUUCCACGUGUAGCGGUGAAAUGCGUAGAGAUGUGGAGGAAUACCGAAGGCGAAGGCAGCCCCUUGGGAAUGUACUGACGCUCAUGUGCGAAAGCGUGGGGAGCAAACAGGAUUAGAUACCCUGGUAGUCCACGCUGUAAACGAUGUCGAUUUGGGGGUUGAGCUUUAAGUUUGGCGCCCGUAGCUAACGUGAUAAAUCGACCGCCUGGGGAGUACGGCCGCAAGGUUAAAACUCAAAUGAAUUGACGGGGGCCCGCACAAGCGGUGGAGCAUGUGGUUUAAUUCGAUGCAACGCGAAGAACCUUACCUACUCUUGACAUCCAGAGAACAUUC